rnacentral:rRNA from 1 species
AGUCAACCUGCCCUAGGGACGUGGAUAACCACGGGAAACUGUGGCUAAACCACGAUAGGUCAUCGCUGCUGGAAUGGGCAAUGGCUCAAACCUACAUGGCCCUAGGAUGGGACUGCGGCCGAUCAGGUCGUUGGCGGGGUAAUGGCCCACCAAGCCUGUAACCGGUACGGGCUCUGAGAGGAGGAGCCCGGAGAUGGGCACUGAGACAAGGGCCCAGGUCCUAUGGGACGCAGCAGGCGCGAAACCUUCGCAAUAGGCGAAAGCCUGACGAGGUUAAUCCGAGUGUUUUCUGCUAAAGGAAUCUUUUGUCAGCUCUAAAUAGGCUGAUGAAUAAGGGGUGGGCAAGCCUGGUGUCAGCCGCCGCGGUAAUACCAGCACCCCGAGUGGUCGGGAUGAUUAUUGGGCCUAAAGCAUCCGUAGCCGGUCCUGUAAGUCUUCCGUUAAAUCCACCUGCUCAACAGUUGGGCUGCGGGAGAUACUGCAGGACUAGGAGGCGGGAGAGGCGAGGGGUAUUCCUUGGGUAGGGGUAAAAUCCUCUGAUCCAUGGAGGACCACCAGUGGCGAAGGCGUCUCGCCAGAACGCGCUCGACGGUGAGGGAUGAAAGCUGGGGGAGCAAACCGGAUUAGAUACCCGGGUAGUCCCAGCUGUAAACGAUGCAGGCUCGGUGAUGGACUGGCUUCGAGCCAGUCCAGUGCCGCAGGGAAGCCGUUAAGCCUGCCGCCUGGGGAGUACGGUCGCAAGACUGAAACUUAA